rnacentral:lncRNA from 1 species
ACCAUUGCACACUUACAACCACUCACAUGAUAGGAAGUGAUUCACACUUGCGCCACGUCACUGCUUCGUCACUGCCACAUCAGGUUUUCUGUCAGAUUUUAUUAAAAAAAAUUCAUGUCACCUAAUUGCAUCUUCUUAACUACAACACUAUCAAACCACUGCCAUCGCCAUCAUCGUCAUUAUCAAAUUCAUAUCUCCACCACCAUAGACUCACUAACCACAACUAAAUUUACUAUCGGAAUCA